rnacentral:rRNA from 1 species
GCGAGUGAAGCGGCAAUAGCUCAAAUUUGAAAUCUGGCACCUUCGGUGUCCGAGUUGUAAUUUGAAGAAGGUAUCUUUGGUUUUGGCUCUUGUCUAUGUUCCUUGGAACAGGACGUCACAGAGGGUGAGAAUCCCGUGCGAUGAGAUGCCCAAUUCCAUGUAAAGUUCCUUCGACGAGUCGAGUUGUUUGGGAAUGCAGCUCUAAGUGGGUGGUAAAUUCCAUCUAAAGCUAAAUAUUGGCGAGAGACCGAUAGCGAACAAGUACUGUGAAGGAAAGAUGAAAAGAACUUUGAAAAGAGAGUGAAAAAGUACGUGAAAUUGUUGAAAGGGAAGGGCUUGAGAUCAGACUUGGAAUUUUCCAUUACAUGGAGCUUUCCGGGCCAGCAUCAGUUUGGAUGGCAGGAUAAUUGCGAUGGAAAGUAGCUCUGCUUCGGUGGAGUAUUAUAGCCUUCGUCGAUACUGCCUGUCUAGACUGAGGACUGCGUCUUUGACUAGGAUGCUGGCAUAAUGAUCUUAAGCCGCCC